AAGACUCCUGUGGUUCAGAAUGCAGUUGUGCCACCAGAACUGGAUGCUGAAUCUGCAUCAAUCGAGCUGACAGUAAGUUGUGUAUUGAAAACUGUGCACAUCAUGUAGCUACACUCGAUAUGCUUACUCUCCACCGUGAAAAUAUGUAGGCGUAAAGCAGCAUGUUCUAUGACACUGGUGGUGCAACACUCUACAUCGACCCAUGUAUCUGUAGCUUUAUGUCAGGCCUUCUUUUCCUGGCCACACAGCAUAGGAGCACACUAAGCAGUAGCCUUAACUGCAAGUAGUUGAAAGACACUUGUGAGUCUUGAGACACUUAUUUUCUGGAAAGGUGGAAAAAACACCAAUAAUAAUUUAUUUCUUUAGGCACUUAGUAAAGAUCUUGGUCCAGCUGGUUCAUUCAACAAAGAAAGGCUGUUUGUGCUGCUGCAUGCCACGCUCGGGGAAUGCAAGACCAGUCCUGUGGCUUCUCUGCCGUGCUACUUUCUUAAUGAAGAUAUUAUGACUCUAGAGACAGAGCUAAGGUUUGGCGACAACGUGGCUAACCUGUUACAGAGACUAUCGAAGGUUAAGCAACUGGUAUCUACUAUCUGUAACCGGCAGAUGGACUUUGCCGAGAUCGACGAUUACCUAAGAGGAAGACAUGCUAAAUGGGCACUCAUAACAUCGAGCGUCGUCUCCGCUGAGUAAACAGCAUCUCCUGGCCCAAGAAUCUUCUGGGGCAUAUCGACAAAAAUCGUCUCUUGUGGAGGGCCUGGCAAAAUUAUCAAGGUAAAUGACGCUACUUUGGAGAAGGCUCUACUCUUUUGCCUAACGGUGUAUCAUGUCAAAAACAUAACAUACCACUCGGCAUUUGCGCAAACUUUGGGGCUCGUGCAAAGUGCGAUAAGCAAUGGUGAAAAAUUUCCCCGCAGCUGGGCUAACAGCAAGCUCGUAAAGAUUCUCGAGAGCAUGAAGGUUACGUAAAUGUACAUGUGUUUACUGCGGCAAAGUCACUGCAGGUGUUAUUUCACAGAGGAAGAAUAUCCCUGGCUUUAACGUAAGAAAGUACUCGUUCAUCUUACAACGCAAGUGCAUAAAAAAGAGUAGUUUUUUGGAAAUGCACGAUUAAUGUAACAGCCUGAUGACGUACAAAUCAAAGUAUGCUUGUGCCAUUCUUUGCGGAUCCCAGUGGUAUAUGAUAACAUGUUGCAAUGUUGGUUUUUAUUAUACAGUAAUGGGCAAAAGCAGAUGUGUUCGGAUUGCUGAACGCUAGCGCAAGACGCAGAUAGGGAUGCUGUGAUAUUUUCCAGUAAGAAACCGAAUACAGCAGCUCCUGAUCUCUUUUUUUUUUAGUUAAUACUGUAAUACAGUUUGUGUGACUUGCAUAACUUACCUACAUUCGGUCACAUUUAUUUCAGUAAAAAGAGUAAUAAGUACUUUGUUUAACAGUAAUAAAUAUUCUUAGGAAUGCAGAAUCUUGAUCUCACUAUAUUCUUUGUUGAAAAAUGCUUGAGUACAGCUAUUCCAUGCUUCGUACAACGAAAAAGGGCUAACUGUGAUAGUAGUGUGAGUUCUUAAUGUGUUCGUUCGUUUGAAUUUCAAUAAAUGGAUUAUACACCCUUCAACAGACUGUGUGGGCUGUGCUAACAGUUACUUAACUCAAUACUUUAUUGCUCUAAACAACUUAAAAGCAAAAAAAAAAAAAGAAAAAAAAAACUGACGAAGAAGAGACAUACACCACGGACUGGUGCUAACUUUCAACUGAUUUAAUCAAGCCUGUCAAACCCAGCGCGAUAGUCUAGUGUGUAUGGGAUGCUUUUAUCACAAAAGGUUGGCGUGGUAGACAAGACUUCACAGAUGCGCGCUGGGUUUGACUGACUUUAUUAAAUCAGUUGAAAGUUAGUGCUAGUCCGUGUUGUGCGUGUCUCGUCCUCAUUUUUUCCCCUUUUAAAUUUUUUACAUUUUAAUGAACCAAUUAGCCCAAACCAAAGCUUCAAUUCAGCAAAUGCUUUACUGCGCUUGAAAGAAAAAUUGAAUAUGAUGGGCGUGCCGCUUGGAGGAAAGAAAUUUUGCCUUCAA
rnacentral:lncRNA from 1 species